rnacentral:rRNA from 1 species
UCCUCCGUAGGUGAACCUGCGGAGGGAUCAUUACAAGUGACCCCGGUCUAACCACCGGGAUGUUCAUAACCCUUUGUUGUCCGACUCUGUUGCCUCCGGGGCGACCCUGCCUUCGGGCGGGGGCUCCGGGUGGACACUUCAAACUCUUGCGUAACUUUGCAGUCUGAGUAAACUUAAUUAAUAAAUUAAAACUUUUAACAACGGAUCUCUUGGUUCUGGCAUCGAUGAAGAACGCAGCGAAAUGCGAUAAGUAAUGUGAAUUGCAGAAUUCAGUGAAUCAUCGAAUCUUUGAACGCACAUUGCGCCCCCUGGUAUUCCGGGGGGCAUGCCUGUUCGAGCGUCAUUUCACCACUCAAGCCUCGCUUGGUAUUGGGCAACGCGGUCCGCCGCGUGCCUCAAAUCGACCGGCUGGGUCUUCUGUCCCCUAAGCGUUGUGGAAACUAUUCGCUAAAGGGUGUUCGGGAGGCUACGCCGUAAAACAACCCCAUUUCUAAGGUUGACCUCGGAUCAGGUAGGGAUACCCGCUGAACUUAAGCAUAUCAAUAAGCGGAGGA